AUAUGGAUUUGCUUAUUUACUAAAUGAAAAUCAUAGUGAGUUGAUCUCCAAAAGAAAAAAAAAACUUGUGUGUGAGCUGGGUAUAGCUUUUAUUAACCAAUUAAAGUUCUGUUAGUCAUUUGAUUUCAGAUAUGUAAAGUAAAUCCAACUCUGAGUUCUUCUGAAGGUUGAUUUGGAGAUUCGGAUGGCUUUUUUUUUCUCCAGAAACUUGCUGCGUCAAAUUGAAGGUAUGUUUUCCUGCAUCUACUCCUUUUGAGGAUUUACUUUGCGAUCUGCAAUUUUUUUUUUCCUUUUGUGCUUUAUUGGUGUUAGAGUAUGAAUUUAGUCCUUUUGAUUCAGUCACGGAUCUAUUGUGACGUGAUCUACUGUGAUGUGAUGUUUAUCAAUGCUCUGUGAUCCACUCUGCAGGAGUUUCUCGUGACUCUACUUUCUGUAACUUAGGGUCCAUAAGCUUCUAUUAUCUUACCUGCAGUGAAUUAGGACGUCGAAGUCUUCAUUGUUUUAAGUAAAAUUUAUGCAAUUAGGAUUUAAAUAAAAAUACUAUGAGUUACAAUUUUUAUGGUUUAAAUUGUAUCAGAAAUUGUUAUAAAAGGAAAAACAUAUGUCAAACUAUUGAGACAAGGAGUAUUUUGUCAUCAACUUGAAGUUAGAGGUGUUAAAGAUGAACAAGUGUUUCCAUUUGAUUAGCAAUGGGAGGAGAUAGCAUCUAAAGAUGUUCAGUAAUCCUCAAUCUCAUUCUAGAAGUCACAGGUUUCAUAGGAGGAGAUAACUAGUUCUUAGAUUGUUUUAUGUUCAGCACUUGUGAAAAUAAGUGGGAGAUCUGAUGGAUUGAAAAGGAUCUUGCUCCCUUCUUGGGUGCAUGGUUUGCAAAGAAGCGUCUUGUUACCAUCCAACAAGUGUCACAGCACGACCUUUCUGUAGAUUAGCUAUGUAAACAAUUUACAUGUGUGAUUUGUCUCUCCUCAUUCAAAUAAAUCAGAGAUGCUUAGUUGUAGUUGAGGGAAUAGAAACCUUUAUUUUUGUACAUCCGGAAUCUAACCUUUCCCGUUGCCAGUUCUUUUGGGAUUGAGUAAUUCCACAGCUUUAACAUUGUCAUUCUGAAAGCUAAGAGGGAAUCAGUUUUAGAUGGAGCUUGUAUGAGUAAAACUUCUGCGAGCCUUAUCUGUGGGUCGUCAUAGUGGUCUUUAUCGCAGAUGUUGGAGUAGAUGAAUAAAAGACGAAAGGAUCGUGUGGAGUUUUUUUCCAGAAAUUCCAUAGCCUAAUCUUCCAAAUGCUGGUUUUAGUUCUUAUAGAAGAAAACAUCCUUCCUGAAUUUGAUCUUUUUGUCCUUCAGCUUAGAGAAUAUGAAAUCAUGCAAUCUCUCUAAGCUAGACAUUAUUGAUUGACAAAUUCAACUAUUACUCUUUUUCUCUGGAAUCAGCUAUUAGUGUAGAAGAUUUUUAAGGCAAACAUGUAACAGGUUUUGUUUCAUGUCUUUUGUAACAAAGCUAUCACAUUUCUCUGGCAAAUGGAUGUGGAUUUUGAGAGGUUUCAUAAGAACCGGAAUAAAUAAAUAAAAACUGACUCUUUUGCCAUUACAUAUUCACAAGAUAAGUUGGGAGAUCUAUUUGAACGGACAUAUAUUAAUCCUUGUUCCAUCCCCGACUUUUGAGCAGGUCAACAUUUUGCCAUCUAUACAUGGUACUAUUUAUUAAACGUAUAUAUACUUGACUCCACAUAUCCAUAACUGCAGUCAGUCUGGAUCCUACUUCCACGGACACUGAUUAAGUGAUUAUUCUUUCCACUAGCAUCAUUUACUUUAAUGUACAAUUAGAUAUUUAGGAAGAAAUUUCUGGUUUCAAAUUAUGAAUCUCCCCUUAGGUUGACUAUAACAAAGUCGCAACCUAAGUUGAAUCAAAUGGUAAGCGCGUAAAGUGUUUUUUUCACAAUGGCCAUAAACAAUUGCUUCGAGGAUGGCCAAAAAACACUUAGCUGAUCAGAUUUACUGUAUUUUCAACAAUCUGGAUUGGCAGAAUGAUCUGUGUCAUUUCCCAACUUUGUUUUUAUAAAUGAUAUAACUCCUAGUUUGUUGGUAGCAGACCUGUUUGAUAGCUAAACCACUAUCUCCCGUCUAACUCACCUUCAGCAACUCAAAUUUUUUAUUUUUCUUAUUUCUGAUCAAAGGAAUGACAUCUUUUUAAAUCCUAACUAUUAUUAGCACGAUAUUGGAAAUCUUAUUGCUAUUACUCAAACAAGCAUGAAACUUCUGGGGUUUUCAACAGAUGAACGGCUAACUAGAUCUGAUUUGUCAGAUCAACAUGAAAGGCAUUUGCAGUGGCAGCAUCUGUUGUCUUUCGGGUUUGGUAAGGGGAGCAGUUCAUAGAGCUUAUAGAUGCUUAUUUGACUGUACUGAUACUGCAGACUGUUCCAUUGUUCUUUCUUGCUGCAAGCUUUGGCUAGAUAACAUCAUUGUGAUUCACGAUAUUCAGAACUUUAGUGUUAGUAAUGUUUUAUCUGGAUAUUCAGAUCUUUAGUUUUAGUAAUGUUUUAUCAGGAUAUUCAGAACUCUACUUAUUGUCAACAAUGUUAUCCAUUUUGUCACUUACUCAUUCAAAAGGAAAUAACUGUUGAGCGAUAA
rnacentral:lncRNA from 1 species